GCGAGUUCGUUUCUUAAACAAUUUCCCCAUUUUACGCCCCUACGGUUGAACACUGGAACUGGAGCUGAAACUGAGCCUCUUUCAUAGACAAGUACUAUUCUGGCAUUAUCAGAUCUCUCGUCUUGCUUUUACAUUUUAACUUCGCGUCGACAAGCUCAUAACUUUAUUAUUAAGGUUUCAAUUCUGCUCAACCUUACUGAAUUCCUUCUUUUGGAUCCAAUUGGACUUGAAAGAUGGGAGCUGCAGAGAAGAGUUUUGACGUGGAGGAGGGAACUCUUGAGAUUGGAAUGGAGUAUAGAACCGUCUCUGGUGUUGCUGGACCGCUGGUUAUUCUCGACAAAGUCAAG
rnacentral:misc_RNA from 1 species